rnacentral:lncRNA from 12 species
GAAAUCUCUAGAUCCCUUCUCAAGAUGAGGUUUUUAAAUGAAAUAAUAUAUGUAAGAUUAUAAAGGAUACUAUUAUUUCAAAAUACAGGGAUCUCAUCGGUCAAGUUUUUAAAAGCAAUUGUACCCGUGUAGAAAUAUGGGCGGUGUGGUGCCAAAUAUUUUGAUGUUUUAAGAGAAGCCGAGUGCCAAAUUUUUAAAUGAAGCUUUCUGAGUUUUAAGUGUCAACAUGACAUUCUUCAAACAUUAAGCCAGUCUACCUCAGCAACAUGUCUGGGUUGGGUUGGCUGCUGGCCACCAUUUCGAAACCUCUGUGUUAGAUGUUGUAGGAGACUCUGCACAAAAGGAAUGGUGACAAUAACACAUGAUGUCAACAGGUAAGAGUGGGAACAGUAUCAUAGCCAAACCAAGGAAAGCCUAACACUUAGCCAUUGGUCCGAUGGAAGAGUACAAAAUAUGGCAGAAAAGAUGUAUGUAUCCCAUGUGCUUGGAUUCAAGUUCAUAACAAGCUUCUCCUGGAAGAAGAAACCCUGGAAGGCAAGAGGACAUCACUGCCGGAGGUACAAAGGGCUGCCAGGACUACAGGGUGGCAAGGAGAUAGACAGGCCUCCGUAGAUGGGCCUUCCUUGCUCUCACUUUUCCUCAUGUUUUCCCAUUGCGCUCAUGGUCAGGUUAGGACAUGGUUGGAAGGGGAAAACUCUCAUGAAGAGGAAAGGCUGAAGGGACCGUUUUCCUAGGAAUUUGGAGAGUGCAAGACAGAUGCCUGAGAGGUUGCCUUUUUCUCUUUUCUUUACAACGUGGGGCUAGGGCAAAGGCCUUGAGGUCCUGGUUGUUUUAAGGGACAGCCAUCCUUUGGUUAUCCUCUGUUCAGGCCCACUCACCGCAGGGAAAAUCAGCGAGAGCUUUGGCAGAGAGGUUAGACAUUCUCUGCAGAGCUAGUGUUUCUGCAGGACAGUGUCCCAUGAGAACCUUCCCUUUGCUGCUAGGCAGCUGAUGGAGAGGCUUCUAGAGCUGAGGAGAGGGAUAUUUAAGAGACAUUCCCUCGGUAAGACCGUUUUCCCACUGCAUUAUCUGUGGAUCUAGGGAGAUGGGCCUCUCGAAGCUGGGCCCAUGGAAAGAGCUCAAAUCUUGCCGUCAUGAGACCUUGGGCCACGAGUAAUGUCAAAUACUGUAGGUGAUUUA